ACAGUGUACCCACGUGAGAGCUAAGUGUGGCCACCAGCCACCGCCCGGCCUCUGCUGUGGGCUGUGACACCGAAGGGGGUGGCACAGUU
rnacentral:snoRNA from 1 species